AGAAACUCCUGAGGCUGAGCCUCAUAACUUAUAUGAGGUCAGAGCAGCCCUCGAAGGUCCUGGCCAGCAGCCGGUGGAUUCAGAGCGGGGAGCCCUCUCAGAGUUUUCCAUCCUUCAGCCAACAAGUGAAGACCUGCUGUCUACACCACUGGGGCCGAGGGAGUGAACUUGCAGCUCCAGAAGCAGCACACACACAGGAGGUGUUGCUGUGGACCAGGAGGACUGCACACACGUUCAGAGCAGGAGAUAAAGGGGUCGAGGAAGGCCUCCGGGAUGAAGGGCCUUGAGCAGGACCCUGAGAACACAUUGGAUUUAGGACCCUGGCUGAUAUACCUGCUGUGUGAGCCCCUCUCCAUGGCCCAAUCUCUCGCCCCGCCUGAUGUCCUGGUAUUACUGCUGUCAUCGUCACCACCAGCCCCUUCACACCCCCAACUUUUAGUGAGCACUUACUGUGUGCCAGGUCUCAUGCCAAGAGUUGACCUGCGCCAUGUCAUUUCAUCCUCACAUUUACGCUCCCGGAGUUAUUGCUUAGAGACAAGGUUUCCCAUGUUGAUCAGGCUGGUCUCGAACUCCUGACCUCAAGUGAUCCACCCGCCUCAGCCUCCCAAAUUGCUGGGAUUACAGGCGUGAACCACCGCACCUGGCCAGAGUCCAUUUUUAAGGUGAGGACACAAAUGCUCUGAGGGAAUGGACUUGCCCAAGGUCACACGGCUUUGAGGCGGCACAGCUGGGAUUUGACUCCAGGCCUGCUGGCUCCAAAGUCCGAGAUCAUUACCACCAAACCACG